CCAGAUCAACUGGCUAUGUUAAUGCCCUCCCUCAAUCUAGUUCACAACUGUGGAAUAUUUCGGAUUGGUUCUAUUCAAAUAAGCCUCUGUGUCUAAACCAGACAGAUAUUUACCCUUUGAGGGCUUAGUAUUCUGCUGUGGUUCUCUCGAGGUAUCUUCAGGUUCUGAUUGAAGCAUCAGCUAUUCCUGCGUGAUCUAUUGUUUUUUCAUGCUGAUUUUUAUUUUUAUCUUGCAUUGUCUGUCUAAAGCUCCUGAGGAAACUCAAAGAGUGAAACAUGUAGAGCUGACCAAAACAAUGUCUCGUCUUGAUUUCACAAGAUGUAUAUAAUCAAGAAUAAUAUAUUUAUG